rnacentral:lncRNA from 1 species
GGAGUGGAGUUCCGUCGAGUUGUUUUAGUCGAUAGAUCUCCGGAUGUACCACUUCAUCUAUCUGAUAGGGGUCUUCCUAGUUGGAUGAUAGCUUUUCUUGCCCAAUGGGCUGUGAAACUUUAGCUCACCGCAACACCAGGAUGCCAGCUCAAAAUUUUUUGGCCUUGACCUAGGCAUUAUAAUACUUAGCCACCCUCUAGU